rnacentral:lncRNA from 1 species
UACCAAUAGCUUAAAAUAUUGUCAUAAUACAUGAAGUCUUGCAUGAGAAUGCUCCGAGCACCUAGCUGUGGAAGGUAGAAUGGAAAUUGCAACAACAAAAUCCUAAUCCUAAUAGAACAUUAACUAAACUCUAAUUAGACCAUAACAAUGUUAAACAAGCUUUAAUCAAAUUCAAAGAAACCUCAAAGAAAUUACAAAGAAAUAAUAAAAAAUCUUAAAGAAAUAUUAGAUUGAUUACAAAUAUAUAUCAAAUACAUCUCAAUUCAAUCUUAAUUUAAUCCUACUUAAAAUUCUAUUGGACUUCAUUCAAACUUUAGGCCAAAAACUAAUUAAAUCUUAAAUCCUAAGUAAAUCCUAAUAAAAUCCUAAACCCUAAAUCAAAUCCUAAUCAAAUUCUAAAUUCUAAAUCAACUCCUAAUUAAAUUCUAAUCCUAAAUCAAAUCCUAAAUCCUAAACUGAACCCUAACCAAAUCCUAAAUCCUAAAUUAAAU